GGGUUGUGAGGUUAAGCGACUAAGCGUACACGGUGGAUGCCCUGGCAGUCAGAGGCGAUGAAGGACGUGCUAAUCUGCGAUAAGCGUCGGUAAGGUGAUAUGAACCGUUAUAACCGGCGAUUUCCGAAUGGGGAAACCCAGUGUGUUUCGACACACUAUCAUUAACUGAAUCCAUAGGUUAAUGAGGCGAACCGGGGGAACUGAAACAUCUAAGUACCCCGAGGAAAAGAAAUCAACCGAGAUUCCCCCAGUAGCGGCGAGCGAACGGGGAGCAGCCCAGAGCCUGAAUCAGUGUGUGUGUUAGUGGAAGCGUCUGGAAAGGCGCGCGAUACAGGGUGACAGCCCCGUACACAAAAAUGCACAUGCUGUGAGCUCGAUGAGUAGGGCGGGACACGUGGUAUCCUGUCUGAAUAUGGGGGGACCAUCCUCCAAGGCUAAAUACUCCUGACUGACCGAUAGUGAACCAGUACCGUGAGGGAAAGGCGAAAAGAACCCCGGCGAGGGGAGUGAAAAAGAACCUGAAACCGUGUACGUACAAGCAGUGGGAGCACGCUUAGGCGUGUGACUGCGUACCUUUUGUAUAAUGGGUCAGCGACUUAUAUUCUGUAGCAAGGUUAACCGAAUAGGGGAGCCGAAGGGAAACCGAGUCUUAACUGGGCGUUAAGUUGCAGGGUAUAGACCCGAAACCCGGUGAUCUAGCCAUGGGCAGGUUGAAGGUUGGGUAACACUAACUGGAGGACCGAACCGACUAAUGUUGAAAAAUUAGCGGAUGACUUGUGGCUGGGGGUGAAAGGCCAAUCAAACCGGGAGAUAGCUGGUUCUCCCCGAAAGCUAUUUAGGUAGCGCCUCGUGAAUUCAUCUCCGGGGGUAGAGCACUGUUUCGGCAAGGGGGUCAUCCCGACUUACCAACCCGAUGCAAACUGCGAAUACCGGAGAAUGUUAUCACGGGAGACACACGGCGGGUGCUAACGUCCGUCGUGAAGAGGGAAACAACCCAGACCGCCAGCUAAGGUCCCAAAGUCAUGGUUAAGUGGGAAACGAUGUGGGAAGGCCCAGACAGCCAGGAUGUUGGCUUAGAAGCAGCCAUCAUUUAAAGAAAGCGUAAUAGCUCACUGGUCGAGUCGGCCUGCGCGGAAGAUGUAACGGGGCUAAACCAUGCACCGAAGCUGCGGCAGCGACGCUGAUGCGUUGUUGGGUAGGGGAGCGUUCUGUAAGCCUACGAAGGUGUGCUGUGAGGCAUGCUGGAGGUAUCAGAAGUGCGAAUGCUGACAUAAGUAACGAUAAAGCGGGUGAAAAGCCCGCUCGCCGGAAGACCAAGGGUUCCUGUCCAACGUUAAUCGGGGCAGGGUGAGUCGACCCCUAAGGCGAGGCCGAAAGGCGUAGUCGAUGGGAAACAGGUUAAUAUUCCUGUACUUGGUGUUACUGCGAAGGGGGGACGGAGAAGGCUAUGUUGGCCGGGCGACGGUUGUCCCGGUUUAAGCGUGUAGGCUGGUUUUCCAGGCAAAUCCGGAAAAUCAAGGCUGAGGCGUGAUGACGAGGCACUACGGUGCUGAAGCAACAAAUGCCCUGCUUCCAGGAAAAGCCUCUAAGCAUCAGGUAACAUCAAAUCGUACCCCAAACCGACACAGGUGGUCAGGUAGAGAAUACCAAGGCGCUUGAGAGAACUCGGGUGAAGGAACUAGGCAAAAUGGUGCCGUAACUUCGGGAGAAGGCACGCUGAUAUGUAGGUGAAGUCCCUCGCGGAUGGAGCUGAAAUCAGUCGAAGAUACCAGCUGGCUGCAACUGUUUAUUAAAAACACAGCACUGUGCAAACACGAAAGUGGACGUAUACGGUGUGACGCCUGCCCGGUGCCGGAAGGUUAAUUGAUGGGGUUAGCCGCAAGGCGAAGCUCUUGAUCGAAGCCCCGGUAAACGGCGGCCGUAACUAUAACGGUCCUAAGGUAGCGAAAUUCCUUGUCGGGUAAGUUCCGACCUGCACGAAUGGCGUAAUGAUGGCCAGGCUGUCUCCACCCGAGACUCAGUGAAAUUGAACUCGCUGUGAAGAUGCAGUGUACCCGCGGCAAGACGGAAAGACCCCGUGAACCUUUACUAUAGCUUGACACUGAACAUUGAGCCUUGAUGUGUAGGAUAGGUGGGAGGCUUAGAAGUGUGGACGCCAGUCUGCAUGGAGCCGACCUUGAAAUACCACCCUUUAAUGUUUGAUGUUCUAACGUUGACCCGUAAUCCGGGUUGCGGACAGUGUCUGGUGGGUAGUUUGACUGGGGCGGUCUCCUCCUAAAGAGUAACGGAGGAGCACGAAGGUUGGCUAAUCCUGGUCGGACAUCAGGAGGUUAGUGCAAUGGCAUAAGCCAGCUUGACUGCGAGCGUGACGGCGCGAGCAGGUGCGAAAGCAGGUCAUAGUGAUCCGGUGGUUCUGAAUGGAAGGGCCAUCGCUCAACGGAUAAAAGGUACUCCGGGGAUAACAGGCUGAUACCGCCCAAGAGUUCAUAUCGACGGCGGUGUUUGGCACCUCGAUGUCGGCUCAUCACAUCCUGGGGCUGAAGUAGGUCCCAAGGGUAUGGCUGUUCGCCAUUUAAAGUGGUACGCGAGCUGGGUUUAGAACGUCGUGAGACAGUUCGGUCCCUAUCUGCCGUGGGCGCUGGAGAACUGAGGGGGGCUGCUCCUAGUACGAGAGGACCGGAGUGGACGCAUCACUGGUGUUCGGGUUGUCAUGCCAAUGGCACUGCCCGGUAGCUAAAUGCGGAAGAGAUAAGUGCUGAAAGCAUCUAAGCACGAAACUUGCCCCGAGAUGAGUUCUCCCUGACUCCUUGAGAGUCCUGAAGGAACGUUGAAGACGACGACGUUGAUAGGCCGGGUGUGUAAGCGCAGCGAUGCGUUGAGCUAACCGGUACUAAUGAACCGUGAGGCUUAACCUUACAACGCCGAAGGUGUUU
rnacentral:rRNA from 1 species